AUACGGAGGACGCGAGCGUUAUCCGGAUUCAUUGGGUUUAAAGGGUGCGUAGGCGGUUUGCUAAGCGGGAGGUGAAAUGCCGGCGCUCAACGUCGGAAGUGCCUCCCGAACUGGUGGACUGGAAUGACUCUGCCGUGGGAGGAAUGUGUAGUGUAGCGGUGAAAUGCUUAGAGAUUACACAGAACACCGAUUGCGAAGGCAUCUCACGAAGGGUUGAUUGACGCUGAGGCACGAAAGCGUGGGGAUCAAACAGGAUUAGAUACCCUGGUAGUCCACGCAGUAAACGAUGAUGGCUAACCGCUGGUUUAUUCGGAUCAGUGGCCAAGCGAAAGCGAUAAGCCAUCCACCUGGGGAGUACGACCGCAAGGUUGAAACUCAAAUGAAUUGACGGGG
rnacentral:rRNA from 1 species